GACAGAGGAGGCAAGCGUUAUCCGGAAUUAUUGGGCGUAAAGCGUCCGUAGGUGGUUUGACAAGUCUGGGGUUAAAGCCCGGAGCCCAACUCCGGAUCGGCCCUGGAAACUGUCAGACUUGAGUAAGGUAGGGGUUGCGGGAAUUCCCGGUGUAGCGGUGAAAUGCGUAGAUAUCGGGAAGAACACCAGCGGCGAAAGCGCGCUACUGGACCAUGACUGACGCUGAGGUACGAAAGCUAGGGGAGCAAAAGGG
rnacentral:rRNA from 1 species